rnacentral:rRNA from 1 species
AGAGUGAACGCUGGCGGUAGGCCUAACACAUGCAAGUCGAACGGCAGCACGGUAAGAGCUUGCUCUUAUGGGUGGCGAGUGGCGGACGGGUGAGGAAUACAUCGGAAUCUACCUUUUGGUGGGGGAUAACGUAGGGAAACUUACGCUAAUACCGCAUACGCCCUUCGGGGGAAAGCCGGGGACCAGCAAUGGCCUGGCGCUGAUAGAUGAGCCGAUGUCGGAUUAGCUAGUUGGUGAGGUAAUGGCUCACCAAGGCGACGAUCCGUAGCUGGUCUGAGAGGAUGAUCAGCCACACUGGAACUGAGACACGGUCCAGACCUCCGUACGGGAGCAGCAGGUGGGGAAUAGUUGGACAAGU